AUCCAGUUUUUUUUAAAAAAAAGAGUGCUCUAGAAACAUCUUCAUUUUAGCCGAAAAAAUUAAAAAUCCCCUCUUAAAAAACAACAAAAUCUGGGGAAACAAAACAUUAAAGACACUUUACAUCAUUCCGAUAUUUUCACAGCCAUUCCCUCCAAAGUCUCUUCUUCUCCCCCAAAGCUACUCAGUCACUAGAGACCCUUCACAACUUAGACCUCUCCUAUCCUUCUCCAUCGCUUCUCUAGCAAACUCAGAGACCUCAUCUCUUAAGCACCACUGUUCUCAUGUCUUCAAUCCCUCAGUAGCCAGCAAGUGAGUGACGUCGUUCACCGUUAUAGGGCAAUAUUUGAAUAUACAAGUACGAAAUUGUUUACCCAAACAUUUUCCAUCUCUGAUUAAGACCACUAUUUUCGAUUUAUCCUCCCUCUCGUGUAAUAGCUUUUUUAUGACAGUGGGUGCAUCUCCUUUAACCUCCGUAUCCAUUAGUCCUAGAUCCAGUCCCAUCUGGAUGCUUUGAAUGCAUGCAAUAGCUUCUACCAUAAAGACUGAAGGUACAUUCUCAUUAGUGAUCGUUUUUUAGCAUAGUACAAGUCUCUCAGAGUUUCGAAUCACAGUCCUCGAACAUGAUUUUUCCUUAUGCUUUUUGUAGGCUGUGUCAAAAUUGAUUUUUACGAACAGAGGCUUCGAUGGUUGCCAACUUUCCGACUCCACAUGCCGAACAUAUAAGGGAAUCUAUACCCCAUCAAGCUCUCGAACAUAAUUUCUUAUUGAAGUUGCAAUGCAGUUCCCAUAUCUUUUCUAACCCUCAUGAAUCCACUUAUUCAGUUCUGUCCAAAUAGACCAUAGAGCAUAUACGAACAUUCUACACUGGUUAUUGGUGUUGUGCUCAAAGAACCAGGUAACCCACUCCAAUAUCUCUAUACUUGACACCCUUUUUGGCCUGGACCAGCCUAAAUGAUUCCAUUUAUCUUUUGUCUCAGGCACUCACGCAGGGCAUGGAUAUCGGUUUCAAUUUCACCUGCUCAUCCCAGACAGAUACUAGAAGUAGUAACUCUCCUAUGUGUAGAUUACAUAGGGUAGGAAGAUAAUUUUUUGAGAUUCGUCAGAUUGUAAUUUUCAGUUUAGAGGGUAAUUUUAAGCCCUACAAUUAUUUUUCUUAUAAAAAUUCCCUAUUUCUACCUAAUUAUAUACAUGUAACACCCUAACCCGUAUCCAUUGCCGGAAUAGGGUUACAAGGCAUAACCGAUAAAUCACAACAUAAAUCAUACAUUUGUGCAAUCA
rnacentral:lncRNA from 1 species